GCAGGCGCAGUGGUUGGCGUCCGCGGAAGGUGGGAGGCGGUCCGCCCUUCAGAAUCCCGCAGGAAGGACAGAGAGGGCGAGUCAAGUGUGAAAAGACGGCGACCUCCUGUGCGUGUGACGUUGGGGUCAACUUUCUUACCGUGCGCGUCCCUCUCUGGGUCUCUCAUUCCUUGCACACACGCACCUCUUCCCCCAGUUCCCUCUACUAGUUUCCGGCUGGUAACUCCUCCGUUUCAUUCAUCCUGGGGAGGCACCGAGGGGACCAGGAAAGUGGGGUGCAGGAAAUCAAAAUGGGGCGAAAAGGAGGAAUGGCCAAGGAGAGAAGCGAGUAAAUUUCGGACGAGCCAAAGGCCUCUGGGGCGUCCCAAGUUCUCACUUGAGUCCCCACCCCCUUCAAGAGAAAAAGAAAAGGUGAAGGAAUUUGCAGUUCUGACUAUGUUUUUGCUUUUGCUGUUGCCUCCGUUUGGAAUGAUCUCCCUCUCCCCGCUUGGUGAUUGCCUAUUCAUAUUUUAGGACCCAACUGGGGUCACUCUGAAAGUUUCUUGAGCCUUGCCCUUCUUCCUUCUCAAAGUACAGUUGCUUAGUUACCCCACCGAAUUUCGAGAACAUUCAAAAGAGAGAGCGAGUUCAAAACUGGACUGGCUUUGAUUACUGGCCUGGUCACUUUAGGUGACCUUGGGCAAGUUACAUAAGGUCUGUGAGCUUCAGGAUCCUCAUCUUUCCAAAGAAGUAACAGUGCGUGGAUCUUAGGGUUGUGGGAAUAAGACAAACAGGUACACAAAAAAGAAAAGUGGCUCUGGGGAAGAUCCGAGUGAGUCUACUCUAAGGAAUACUCAAUAGGAGACAAAGGUUUGGCAGGUAGGAUGGCUUCCCCUCCCACCCUCCUCCCAUACUCUAGUGAUAAUGGCUAAUAUCUGCUUACUCUGUCGGGCACUGUGCUGUGAGCUACACAUGCAUCAUUACCUUGUUUAGUCUUCGUAACCACUCAAUUGGGUAGCUCCUAUUAUCCUCAUUUAUAGAGACUGAAGCUUAGAUAAAACAACUUGCCCAAGUUCACCUAACUACUAAGUAGCAAGACAGGGUUGGAAAUCCAAGUCUGUCUAUUUUCUAAAACUUUCAGUGCCGUGCUAUAUUCCUUUUCUAUUAAAUCGAGAAAAAAAAAACAUUCUGCUUUCUUGGAUGAGUUUAAUUUUUUUUUUUCUUCAUGAAGUGGAAUUGAUCUCUUUUGUGACAGAAAUUACGGAAACAAUCUGGAUCUCAGAGCACCAUCUUGAAUCUCAACAAGAAUAAUAUGUCUGGAAUUAACUAUUAUAGCUGGUGGCAACCUUUGUUAUUCCUCAGAGCAAGGUGACCAACUCAUCUUUGUUUUAGCACUUCAAGUCCUACAUCCGGAAAACCCCUCAGUACUGGGCAAUCUGGGAUGGCUGGUCACCCUACCUAGGAGUGUCGAAUUUCCUAUCCGUCCUGACUUUGAUCCUCUCAGGAAAUGUCUGGCAUUCACUGAAGACUGACCUUUAUGCAUGUCCAAGCAUCUCAUGUGGGAUUAACUCAUUAAGUGAGCUAACAUGUUGUAAAAUACUUUGCACAAUGCUUGGGAUAUAGUGUGCUCAACAAAUGCUAUUAUUUUAUUUCUUAUUAUUUAUUUUUUGGCUGCACCACACAGCACAUGGGAUCUUAGUUCCCCGACCAGUGAUCGAACCCGUGCCCCCUGCUGUGGAAGCGCGGAGUGUUAACCACUGGACCACCAGGGUAGUCCCAACAAAUGCUGUUAUUUAAGGGAGAACUGAGAGGAUAUUCAAUUUAUGACAGCAUGAAAGAAGGAAUAUGAGUUAGUGGGAAGGAGAUUCGAGUAUUCUGUACUUGUUUGCCUUCAUGACUUGUACUUACUAAAACUGUGAUAGCAGAGCAGUUGUGGAAGCAACAAGGAAGGAUAUGACUGAAAGUCACAGCCAAAGCUGGGCUUAUGCAGUUACAACCAUGUAACCAGGGCAGUGAAAGCUGAUAGCACCCGCUAGUAGAAGUCUGUUAUUCCAACCGAGGGCACUUACAGCAGGUUGGGGACUGCUGUGCUGGUGGAGAGCAAAAGAUGUAAAGUAAGGAGACCUGAGAAGCAUCAGCUUCAGGAAAUACCAGGUUCCUCAUGAGACAAACUUUUUGCAAAGAAUUCCAUCUCAGGAGGAAAUAUGAACAAAACAAACAUUCCUAAGGCCCUCAAGACUCGGUUUCAUAAAUCGUGCCAGCAUUAGGUGAUGAAAGAGCCUGCCUUCCCUCCCUCGCAGCCUAACCUGCUCUCCACUGCCCACAUUUUAACCAUUCCUGGCCGGGUGUACUGUUGGCUUCUGCUUCUACUUCUACUUCAGGCUGACUUCCUUCUAACUAUAAUCUUCAGACAAGUAGGAAGCGUUGCUGUCUAAAAGAACUGGGAGAAAGAUCUCCUCAGAUUCUCGUCCUGGCUCUGAAACAACAUACUGUGGCCUUAGGUAAGUGUGGAUCUUAGUUUCCUCAAAAAUAAAAUGAAGGGGGGAUGGACUAAAUUUCCUGUCCUGUCAUUCCAUGCAUGACUCUGUGACAUAUUCUGGUAAAGGAUGAGAGUACGGGAGGUAACACAUCCUCUGUGAGCCACUUGAGAGCAAGAGGUUGUAUCUUUGUAGCCUUAGUACCUAAAUACAGUGUUGGUCAGUAACCGUUUAUGAGAUUUGUGGAUGAGAAUGGCUUGGGAUUCAAAAGACCCAGAUUUGAAUGCAAUUAUUGGUGGUACUGACUGUGGGUAACUGAGCAAAUCUGGUUCAGAGCACCUUAGCAUCUCUAUCUGCAAAAAAGCUGGAGUGAGAUUUACCACAGCCUUACGACUCUCCAGAAUUAAUGAAUGGCUGUGAGCGAACCUACAGCUGUGCAGGUGAAAAGAACUCUGUGUUUUCAAGAUCUUGGGUUAUCCCAGUCAACUGAAAUUUGCUUCCUAGGCAGAUGCAGGAUGAACAUGUAUUGCUUGCCCUGAUUUUAGACAAAAGACUACCCAGAAUAGGCUGUGAUUCUUUCAUCCGCUUCGCUUUUUGAUGAUAUCGUGCAGAAAGCUUUAGCCUGCGACAAUGAUUCUCUCUGGCUAACACAGUAAUCAAACAAGUCUUGCUGCUUCCCUCAGCAGAAACAAAUCAAUUUAAGAACCCACUUGGGAAUUCACUGUUUCCUCUCUGCAGACCAGGUUCAAGGCUGGUCUCAUUCUGGCAGCUGAAAUCAAGCAGAAAUCCUUAGAGAACCGUGUCAUAAAGCCACAUUCACUUUUAGCUGAUUAAAAAAUAUAAAAGUAACAGCCCACAUACCUAAUGUGCUAUUUAAAACAA